CAUAUAUGAGGGCCUGUGAGUCCCCGGCUUCGGCAUAGUCUUCCGAACGGCAACGUAUUCAGCACGUUCCUCAGCUGCAAGCUCAUCCUCGAAGUCAGAGCCAUCAGACGAGGAGCGGGGCUGUGGAGGAGGACGCCGGGCGAGCCGUUUGAAGGGACGGCGUGGUACAUCGGAGUCAUCCGACCCCGUGCCAAGAGUCGCACGAGCGGAUGGGCCAGCAGAGUUCUUCCGGGCAGUGUGCUUAAUCUUGGGCAUGAUGGGAAAAGGCCUACACGGUUGAAAACCCAAUGGGGAACGGUCACGGUCAAAACACAUGAACGAACACAUGAACUAGUGAGAAGGGGAACCAAUCACGAGAGAAACCGAGAGGAUACCUGCAGAUCGAGAGAGGAGAGGA
rnacentral:lncRNA from 1 species